rnacentral:rRNA from 1 species
UACAGAGGUCCCGAGCGUUGUUCGGAUUCAUUGGGCGUAAAGGGUGCGUAGGUGGCGGGGCAAGUUUGGUGUGAAAUCCCGGGGCUCAACCCCGGAACUGCACUGAAUACUGCCUUGCUUGAGCACUGGAGAGGGAACUGGAAUUUACGGUGUAGCAGUGAAAUGCGUAGAUAUCGUAAGGAAGACCAGUGGCGAAGGCGAGUUCCUGGACAGUUGCUGACACUGAGGCACGAAGGCUAGGGGAGCAAACGGG